GGGAUCGCUGUACUUGUAAUUAUAAACAUAUAACAAAUAAAAUGUAAAUAGGGGUACUUACUUUAUCGCGCUGUUUCCUUCGUACUUCUUCUAUAUAUAAAGAAAAAUAAUUUAUUUUUUAUAAAAAUAAUUACAAACAAGUAAGGAAAGGCUAAGUUCGGGUGCAACCUAACAUUUUAUACUCUCGCAAUUUAUUGAUAUACUUUUAUUAAGAUAACACACAAUUUGAUCCAUAUAUUCGACAUAAAGUCCAAUAGAAAAACGAAAAUCAUCAUAUAUAGUAUAUAUGAGGUAAUUUCUGAACCGAUUUCACUAAUUUUCAUCACCAACAUACAUUUUAUAUAAGAUUAUAUGCUCAUUUAAUUUGGCUAAGAUAUUUCACAUAUUAAACGCCCAUCGUAUUUUUGAUAUCCUAUAAUUAGGUAUAUGAGAGCAAGGGGAAGUUAUGACCGGAUUUUAAACAUUUCUGGUACAGAGACACACAAUUGGAAGAAAAAUAUUUCCUCUGAAUUAAAUUAAGAUACCUGAGGGGUUUAUCGAAAUUUUCGUUGAAAAAUUCUUCAUAUUCGAUAUCCGGGGCAUUGAAAAGUUAUAGUCCGAUUUCGACAAUUUUUUCACAAGUGAUAUCACAGAUCAUAUACACUAUUUGUGUAAAGUCUUAUUCCGUUAUCUUCAUUGGUUCCUUAUGAAUACAUUGUAAAGUGAAGGAAUAAGAUAGAAUUCAAAAUUGAGUUAUAUUGGAAGUUGUCGUGGGUGUGAACCAAUUUCAUCCAAUUUUUUUUAUUGAAAUCUGUCGAGUACUUCCUGAGAUAUGGAUUUUACACAUAAGUGGGCGUUGCUACGCCAAUUUCCAUUUUGUAAAAAAAUUUGAGUGCAGCUCCUUUCUGCUUGAUAUAUAUUACCCUAUAUAUAUCUCGUUUUUGACUCGUCUCCUCAAUGUGUUCAGCACUAGAUGCAUGUACUACAAUGAACCGUUCAAAAAUUACCGCCAUAGCCGUCAUUCAUUUGAAAAGAAAAUUUGAAGUGAGUGGAUAUCGAUAUAUGUUUGAGUGGGUGCUGCAGAGUAUUUCAAAGGAAUAUAAUUGCAGAAAAAGGUCUUGGAAGGCAAAGCGAGCUGCAACGCACAUCUGGUGCGUACAUGCAAACACAAACAUGCCAAAUUAAAAAUAGGAGCAGAACAAGGAUUAUGCCACUGGAGGCAGAUGUAAUAUAACAUAAUACUACAAUAGCGACUCCAAGCAGAGGACUCGCAGAAACAGAUUAGAUUGCAUUAAUAUACACCAACAUUGCAAUAAUAACAACGUAAUGAAUGCUUAUGGUGACAACAAUUAGCAGAAUUCGGAACAACAAAUCGGAGAUAAAGUAUUACUCCCAUUUAGGAAGCUAGCUAUACUUGGUAUGGGUGCGGGGAAUCCUACCAGCAGUUCUUCAACACCUACAGCGGUAAUCGCUCAUCAAUCUUACAUUACAAAUUCGAACUAGAAUUGGUCGUAUGAUGGAAGAAGCACUCGUAGUCCUUUGUGUCAGAAAGUAACAAAAAUCAUGCACCUAAAAAUACAACACAAAAUAUUCUACAACAACAGAGUUGGUAAUAUUACUUCCCAUGCUUAUAAUAAAUAAUGGUGGACAGUCGCUUGUAACAUGUGUAGUUAGUUAGUUCUAACCAACUAAAUAUAUUUUUCAGGCAUUGUAUGAUGUACAAUAAAUUACAUCGCACUUUUGGAGUAGCAGUUGCAUAUUGUUAUAAUAGCAUCUAUAUAAAAAUGAAUAUACGAAUAUUUGUAACAAUCGUAAUAGUAGUGAUAUGUAAUUUGUAUUGUAUAACACAAAAAAUCAAUAAUUUUAAAGGUUGUAAUUAUAAAUUAUAAAAAAUUAAUAAUUAAUACAAACUUUAUAUGUAAAAUAUGUAAAUUUUGUCAAUGUAUAUAUGAU